AAGGGAGAGUAAUACGUGGGAAUCUGCCCUUAGACCUGGGAUAGCGGCGGGAAACUGCCGGUAAUACCAGAUAAUGUCUUCGGACCAAAGGUGUGAUUCCGUCUAGGGAUGAGCCCACGUCCUAUUAGCUAGUUGGCAGGGUAAUGGCCUACCAAGGCGAUGAUGGGUAGCGGGUGUGAGAGCACGACCCGCCUCACUGGGACUGAGACACUGCCCAGACACCUACGGGUGGCUGCAGUCGAGAAUCUUCGGCAAUGAGCGCAAGCUUGACCGAGCGACGCCGCGUGCGGGAUGAAGGCCUUCGGGUUGUAAACCGCUGUCGAGGGGGAGCAAAUUCCUAGGGGUUCUCCCCUAGGAUUGAGUGAUCCCUGGAGGAAGGACGGGCUAAGUUCGUGCCAGCAGCCGCGGUAAGACGAACCGUCCAAACGUUAUUCGGUAUCACUGGGCUUAAAGAGUUCGUAGGCGGCCCUGCAGGUGAGGUGUGAAAUCCCUCGGCUUAACCGAGGAAUUGCGCUUCAAACCGCAUGGCUUGAGGGAGACAGAGGUGGGCGGAACUGAUGGUGGAGCGGUGAAAUGCGUUGA
rnacentral:rRNA from 1 species